ACAGUUGGAAACGACUGCUAAUACCGCAUAAGCCCACGGCUCGGCAUCGAGCAGAGGGAAAAGGAGCAAUCCGCUUUGAGAUGGCCUCGCGUCCGAUUAGCUAGUUGGUGAGGUAACGGCCCACCAAGGCGACGAUCGGUAGCCGGACUGAGAGGUUGAACGGCCACAUUGGGACUGAGACACGGCCCAGACUCCUACGGGAGGCAGCAGUGGGGAAUAUUGCACAAUGGGGGAAACCCUGAUGCAGCGACGCCGCGUGGAGGAAGAAGGUCUUCGGAUUGUAAACUCCUGUUGUUGAGGAAGAUAAUGACGGUACUCAACAAGGAAGUGACGGCUAACUACGUGCCAGCAGCCGCGGUAAAACGUAGGUCACAAGCGUUGUCCGGAAUUACUGGGUGUAAAGGGAGCGCAGGCGGGCGAUCAAGUUGGAAGUGAAAUCCAUGGGCUCAACCCAUGAACUGCUUUCAAAACUGAUUGUCUUGAGUAGUGCAGAGGUAGGCGGAAUUCCCGGUGUAGCGGUGGAAUGCGUAGAUAUCGGGAGGAACACCAGUGGCGAAGGCGGCCUACUGGGCACCAACUGACGCUGAGGCUCGAAAGUGUGGGUAGCAAACAGGAUUAGAUACCCUGGUAGUCCACACCGUAAACGAUGAUUACUAGGUGUUGGAGGAUUGACCCCUUCAGUGCCGCAGUUAACACAAUAAGUAAUCCACCUGGGGAGUACGACCGCAAGGUUGAAACUCAAAGGAAUUGACGGGGGCCCGCACAAGCAGUGGAGUAUGUGGUUUAAUUCGACGCAACGCGAAGAACCUUACCAAGUCUUGACAUCCUGCGACGAUGCUAGAAAUAGUAUUUUCCUUCGGGACGCAGAGACAGGUGGUGCAUGGUUGUCGUCAGCUCGUGUCGU
rnacentral:rRNA from 1 species